AGUGAACGCUGGCGGUAGGCCUAACACAUGCAAGUCGAACGGCAGCACAGUAAGAGCUUGCUCUUACGGGUGGCGAGUGGCGGACGGGUGAGGAAUACAUCGGAAUCUACUUUUUCGUGGGGGAUAACGUAGGGAAACUUACGCUAAUACCGCAUACGACCUACGGGUGAAAGCAGGGGAUCUUCGGACCUUGCGCGAUUGAAUGAGCCGAUGUCGUAUUAGCUAGUUGGCGGGGUAAAGGCCCACCAAGGCGACGAUCCGUAGCUGGUCUGAGAGGAUGAUCAGCCACACUGGAACUGAGACACGGUCCAGACUCCUACGGGAGGCAGCAGUGGGGAAUAUUGGACAAUGGGCGCAAGCCUGAUCCAGCCAUACCGCGUGGGUGAAGAAGGCCUUCGGGUUGUAAAGCCCUUUUGUUGGGAAAGAAAAGCAGCAGGUUAAUACCCCGCUGUUCUGACGGUACCCAAAGAACAAGCACCGGCUAACUUCGUG
rnacentral:rRNA from 1 species